rnacentral:misc_RNA from 1 species
GAUGAAGAACGCAGCGAAAUGCGAUAAGUAGUGUGAAUUGCAGAAUUCAGUGAAUCAUCGAAUCUUUGAACGCACAUUGCGCCCCUUGGUAUCCCGAGGGGCAUGCCUGUUCGAGCGUCAUUUCACUACUCAAGCCUGGCUUGGUGUUGGGCGACGUCCUCUUUGGGGACGCGCCUCGAAACGCUCGGCGGCGUGGCACCGGCUUUAAGCGUAGCAGAAUCUUUCGCUUUGGAAGUCGGGGCCCCGUCUGCCGGAAGACCUGCUCGCAAGGUUGACCUCGGAUCAGGCAGGGAUACCCGCUGAACUUAAGCAUAUCAAUAAGCGGAGGA